ACUCCUACGGGAGGCAGCAGUGGGGAAUAUUGCACAAUGGGGAAACCCUGAUGCAGCCAUGCCGCGUGUGUGAAGAAGGCCUUCGGUUGUAAAGCACUUUCAGUAGGGAGGAAGGUAGUGUAGUUAACACCUGCAUUAUUUGACGUUACCUACAGAAGAAGCACCGGCUAACUCCGUGCCAGCAGCCGCGGUAAUACGGAGGGGUGCGAGCGUUAAUCGGAAUUACUGGGCGUAAAGCGCAUGCAGGCGGCCUGUUAAGUCAGAUGUGAAAGCCCGGGGGCUUAACCUCGGAAUUGCAUUUGAAACUGGCAGGCUAGAGUCUUGUAGAGGGGGUAGAAUUUCAGGUGUAGCGGUGAAAUGCGUAGAGAUCUGAAGGAAUACCAGUGGCGAAGGCGGCCCCCUGGACAAAGACUGACGCUCAGAUGCGAAAGCGUGGGGAGCAAACAGGAUUAGAUACCCUGGUAGCACAGAGC
rnacentral:rRNA from 1 species